rnacentral:SRP_RNA from 1 species
GCAAGGUCCACUGGGGCAUGCCUGCUCUUCCAGCUACUAGAGAGGCUGAGAUGAGAAAAUCACUUGAGCUCAGGAGUUCUGGGCUGCAGGGCACUAUGCCAAUCAGAUGUCCAUACUAAACAACCUCCCAGGAGUGGGAGACCACCAGGGUCCCUAAAGAAGGGUAAACCUUCCCAAGUCAGAAACAAGGUUAGUCAAAACUCCCAUGCUGAUCAGUAGUACAAUCAGCCUGUGAAUAGUUAUUGCUCUCUAGACUGGCCAACACAGUGAGACCCUCUUUCU